AGCCACAGCGCAGGGCGCUCCGACCACGCCCCCGAUCCGCCCCCUAUGGGCCCUGGGGGGCAGUGAAUAGCCACAGCGCAGUGCACCCUGGCCAUGCCCGAUUGGGUGGGGUCUUGGGGGGCUGUUUCCUGUUCCUCAGUGGCCUCUAUUCUCCCUCCUCUUGGGACCUUUCCUGCCCUCUCUGUCCACCCCCGAGGAGGCCGUGGGGGGAGUCCAUGGCCCCGGAAAGAUGCCCAGGCCUCUUGGCUUCAGCUUGCGAUUUGAGCUCAGCUGCUGCCCUUAGUCUGGCAGCGGGACAGGCAGAGAGCCAGCCCCCCGCCCCGCAGCGUCCUUGUAGGGCCGGGACAGAGGGCGACGGGCAGAGGGGGGCAGGAGAGAAGGAGACGGGUGACGAGAGGAGAGGAGAGCGCGGCCCAGGCCCAGGACGAUGCAGGCCCUUCUGUUUCAGCCCCGUGUAAACACCGGGAGCAACUCCUGAUUUAAACCCUGGAUCUCCCGCGUGGGAUCCCUCCGCUCCUUCGCCACCUCCGCUCGCCACCAGAUGAAAAACAAAGUCCCCGAACAUCAGAAGCUCUUUC